rnacentral:rRNA from 1 species
GACGAACGCUGGCGGCGUGCCUAAUACAUGCAAGUCGAGCGGACGAAUCGAAAGCUUGCUUUUGAUUCGUUAGCGGCGGACGGGUGAGUAACACGUGGGCAACCUGCCCUGUAGACGGGGAUAACACAGAGAAAUCGGUGCUAAUACCGGAUAACACGAAAUGUCGCAUGACGUUUCGUUGAAAGACGGCGCAAGCUGUCGCUACAGGAUGUGCCCGCGGCGCAUUAGCUAGUUGGUGAGGUAACGGCUCACCAAGGCGACGAUGCGUAGCCGACCUGAGAGGGUGAUCGGCCACACUGGGACUGAGACACGGCCCAGACUCCUACGGGAGGCAGCAGUAAGGAAUCUUCCGCAAUGGGCGAAAGUCUGACGGAGCAACGCCGCGUGAGCGAAGAAGGCCUUCGGGUCGUAAAGCUCUGUUGUUAGGGAAGAACAAGUAACGCAGUAACUGGCGUUACCGUGACGGUACCUAACGAGAAAGCCACGGCUAACUACGUG